rnacentral:rRNA from 1 species
AGAGUUUGAUCCUGGCUCAGGAUGAACGCUAGCUACAGGCUUAACACAUGCAAGUCGAGGGGCAGCAUGGUCUUAGCUUGCUAAGGCCGAUGGCGACCGGCGCACGGGUGAGUAACACGUAUCCAACCUGCCGUCUACUCUUGGACAGCCUUCUGAAAGGAAGAUUAAUACAAGAUGGCAUCAUGAGUCCGCAUGUUCACAUGAUUAAAGGUAUUCCGGUAGACGAUGGGGAUGCGUUCCAUUAGAUAGUAGGCGGGGUAACGGCCCACCUAGUCUUCGAUGGAUAGGGGUUCUGAGAGGAAGGUCCCCCACAUUGGAACUGAGACACGGUCCAAACUCCUACGGGAGGCAGCAGUGAGGAAUAUUGGUCAAUGGGCGAGAGCCUGAACCAGCCAAGUAGCGUGAAGGAUGACUGCCCUAUGGGUUGUAAACUUCUUUUAUAAAGGAAUAAAGUCGGGUAUGCAUACCCGUUUGCAUGUACUUUAUGAAUAAGGAUCGGCUAACUCCGUGCCAGCAGCCGCGGUAAUACGGAGGAUCCGAGCGUUAUCCGGAUUUAUUGGGUUUAAAGGGAGCGUAGAUGGAUGUUUAAGUCAGUUGUGAAAGUUUGCGGCUCAACCGUAAAAUUGCAGUUGAUACUGGAUAUCUUGAGUGCAGUUGAGGCAGGCGGAAUUCGUGGUGUAGCGGUGAAAUGCUUAGAUAUCACGAAGAACUCCGAUUGCGAAGGCAGCCUGCUAAGCUGCAACUGACAUUGAGGCUCGAAAGUGUGGGUAUCAAACAGGAUUAGAUACCCUGGUAGUCCACACGGUAAACGAUGAAUACUCGCUGUUUGCGAUAUACUGCAAGCGGCCAAGCGAAAGCGUUAAGUAUUCCACCUGGGGAGUACGCCGGCAACGGUGAAACUCAAAGGAAUUGACGGGGGCCCGCACAAGCGGAGGAACAUGUGGUUUAAUUCGAUGAUACGCGAGGAACCUUACCCGGGCUUAAAUUGCAGAUGAAUUACGGUGAAAGCCGUAAGCCGCAAGGCAUCUGUGAAGGUGCUGCAUGGUUGUCGUCAGCUCGUGCCGUGAGGUGUCGGCUUAAGUGCCAUAACGAGCGCAACCCUUGUUGUCAGUUACUAACAGGUUCUGCUGAGGACUCUGACAAGACUGCCAUCGUAAGAUGUGAGGAAGGUGGGGAUGACGUCAAAUCAGCACGGCCCUUACGUCCGGGGCUACACACGUGUUACAAUGGGGGGUACAGAGGGCCGCUACCACGCGAGUGGAUGCCAAUCCCAAAAACCUCUCUCAGUUCGGACUGGAGUCUGCAACCCGACUCCACGAAGCUGGAUUCGCUAGUAAUCGCGCAUCAGCCACGGCGCGGUGAAUACGUUCCCGGGCCUUGUACACACCGCCCGUCAAGCCAUGGGAG